UCACUUCUACUACUGCUUCUCUUGAUUGGCACAUGAAGCCAGAAGGAAUUGGACAGUCUCUCUCCUGAAAAGGCUCUCCUCCUGCUUCUGUUGACCAGGGAACAACCACCAUGGAAUACCCGCACAUGGGGGAGUCAGCCAUGCCACCUAUUAUAAUGCUGCCUCAUCACAGAAUGUAAAGCAAGAACAUCAGUGUACAAAAGAAGGUGAUGGACUGUCAACUUGCCAGAAGGCUGGUGGCUGAAAUUUAAUUUGUAGAUAGCUAUUGUAUAACCUGUUUACCACAUGAUAAAAAUAAUCACAACAGAACAUGAAUAUAAUAGAAGAGAGACAGCAGACGUGGGUAUUCAAGAAAGACAGAGACACAUUGACUGGAUGCUUCAAAUUCUAAAACCAAGAUACAUGCCUUUCAAGAGAAAUGUGGAAGUGAGGAAAAAAUGGCUUACGUAUGGACAUUUAAAUUAAAUGUAAUGGAAAUACUAUAUUUCCAAGAUCAUUUAUAACUUUUAUUGAUAUUGCAGAAAAUAGAGUGAAAUAACUGUCAUAGGUUUCAGAGUAGCAGCCACGUUAGUCUGUAUUCGCAAAAAGAAAAGGAGUACUUGUGGCACCUUAGGGACGAACAAAUUUAUUUUAGUAACCUAUAUGAAGUCAAAUAGAAAUCAACUGAAGUCCUUUCAGCAAGUUUCCAAGCCCGUUCUUGUUGCACAGAAAUUAUAAGCCAUCUACACAGAUGUUACUCAUGAACUGUAGCUGGUAAACCAUUAAAUACCAAGCUAGAACAGAACAUAUCACAUCCUCUUGUAAACAA